AGUGAACGCUGGCGGUAGGCCUAACACAUGUAAGUCGAACGGCAGCACAGUAAGAGCUUGCUCUUACGGGUGGCGAGUGGCGGACGGGUGAGGAAUACAUCGGAAUCUACUUUUUCGUGGGGGAUGACGUAGGGAAACUUACGCUAAUACCGCAUACGACCUACGGGUGAAAGCAGGGGAUCUUCGGACCUUGCGCGAUUGAAUGAGCCGAUGUCGGAUUAGCUAGUUGGCGGGGUAAAGGCCCACCAAGGCGACGAUCCGUAGCUGGUCUGAGAGGAUGAUCAGCCACACUGGAACUGAGACACGGUCCAGACUCCUACGGGAGGCAGCAGUGGGGAAUAUUGGACAAUGGGCGCAAGCCUGAUCCAGCCAUACCGCGUGGGUGAAGAAGGCCUUCGGGUUGUAAAGCCCUUUUGUUGGGAAAGAAAAGCAGCAGGUUAAUACCCCGCUGUUCUGACGGUACCCAAAGAAUAAGCACCGGCUAACUUCGUG
rnacentral:rRNA from 1 species